rnacentral:misc_RNA from 1 species
AAACUACCCACUACUUACUGUAACUAUAUAACUCUCUUCCUAAUUCCUAUGAUCAGUCACAACACAUAUUGCAUCGAUUAAACCAACAUUAGUUCUCACAUUCUUUAAUCAGUAUAUCUGUUGGAUCUUUCAAGGAGAGAAAAAAGAAGACCACUAACAUGGCAUCUGCUGUGGGUCUGUUUUGUACUUGCUUUCUAGUCUUUCUAGCAUCCAUGAAUGGUUUGGCUGAUGCAGGAAGGUUGUUCAAAGUGGGUGAUGAGUUGGGUUGGCAAGAGCCUGGAGGCAACAACACUGCAGUUUAUAGCCAAUGGGCUGAAAGGAACAGAUUUCAAGUUGAAGAUUCUCUCUUAUUCGAGUACAAGAAUGACUCGGUUAUUCAGGUUGACAAAUGGGGUUAUUACCAUUGCAACACCAGCAAACCUAUUGUUGCCUUCAACAAUGGGAGGAGUACUUUCAAUCUUGAAAGGCCAGGACCUUUCUACUUUAUUAGUGGAGCCUCUGAUCACUGCAGAAAUGGCCAGCGUUUGAUUGUGGAAGUGAUGGGUAUGCACCACCAAAGAUCACAUUCUCCACCAUCCAUUGCAAAUCCACCUGAAUCUAACCUGGCACCAUCACCACAGCCAAGUUCAGGAGCAGUAGUCUCAGUGAGACUUGUUUCAGUCUUAGUGGUUGUUCUUGCCACAUUAGAAACUUUACUAUUGUCAUCUUAAGCAGUUUUCAGUUAUGGUUGUUUUAGUUAUUUGACAUUUAUUCUUUGUCAAUUGGUGUCAGGUUCCAGCUAGCUAUUGGAAUCCUUUGUCG